UCCGUGGUGGCUCAGAGGUUUAAGCGUCUGCCUGGAAUGCAGGAGACCCAGGUUCGAUCCCUGGGUCGGGAA
rnacentral:tRNA from 1 species